UACGUAGGGCGCAAGCGUUAUCCGGAAUUAUUGGGCGUAAAGAGCUCGUAGGCGGUUUGUCGCGUCUGCCGUGAAAGUCCGGGGCUCAACUCCGGAUCUGCGGUGGGUACGGGCAGACUAGAGUGAUGUAGGGGGAGACUGGAAUUCCUGGUGUAGCGGUGGAAUGCGCAGAUAUCAGGAGGAACACCGAUGGCGAAGGCAGGUCUCUGGGCCACUACUGACGUGAGAAGCGAAAGCAUGGGGAGCGAACAGG
rnacentral:rRNA from 1 species